rnacentral:snoRNA from 1 species
GGGAUAUAAGGAGUGGUCAAUACUCGCAUCUAAUGCGAGAUGGGUGCCCACAUCGCCUGUUACGACAAUUGGGUACUCUCAUUUUUACCAUCUGAUCCC